GUCGAGCGGGCGAGGUUGCUUCGGUAACUGAGCUAGCGGCGGACGGGUGAGUAAAGCUUAGGAAUCUGCCUAUUAGUGGGGGACAACAUUUCGAAAGGGAUGCUAAUACCGCAUACGUCCUACGGGAGAAAGCAGGGGACCUUCGGGCCUUGCGCUAAUAGAUGAGCCUAAGUCGGAUUAGCUAGUUGGUGGGGUAAAGGCCUACCAAGGCGACGAUCUGUAGCGGGUCUGAGAGGAUGAUCCGCCACACUGGGACUGAGACACGGCCCAGACUCCUACGGGAGGCAGCAGUGGGGAAUAUUGGACAAUGGGGGGAACCCUGAUCCAGCCAUGCCGCGUGUGUGAAGAAGGCCUUUUGGUUGUAAAGCACUUUAAGUGGGGAGGAGGCUCUCUUGGUUAAUACCUAAGAAGAGUGGACGUUACCCACAGAAUAAGCACCGGCUAACUCUGUGCCAGCAGCCGCGGUAAUACAGAGGGUGCGAGCGUUAAUCGGAUUUACUGGGCGUAAAGCGCGCGUAGGUGGUUAAUUAAGUCAAAUGUGAAAUCCCCGAGCUUAACUUGGGAAUUGCAUUCGAUACUGGUUAGCUAGAGUAUGGGAGAGGAUGGUAGAAUUCCAGGUGUAGCGGUGAAAUGCGUAGAGAUCUGGAGGAAUACCGAUGGCGAAGGCAGCCAUCUGGCCUAAUACUGACACUGAGGUGCGAAAGCAUGGGGAGCAAACAGGAUUAGAUACCCUGGUAGUCCAUGCCGUA
rnacentral:rRNA from 1 species